CUCUGAUACGAUAAACACGUGCAUUAGGGACACAGUUCAUUUACCCCCCACCCCCUCCGCGGGAUUUACGGCUGUAAGGUCCAGAUGGAUACAGAAUGACAGCACUCUACAAUCCAGGACCCGAUGUAAUUCAAUCAAAAUUAGCAAGUGCCUUUCAGAUUGAUGAAAUCUACAGUGUACCAGAUGCGGGAACGGUGGUUUGAGGGACGCUCUACAG